rnacentral:tRNA from 1 species
GCAGUCGUGGCCAAGUGGUUAAGGCGAUGGACUAGAAAUUCAUUGGGGUCUCCUCGCACAGGUUUGAAUCCUUUAAACUGCG